rnacentral:tRNA from 1 species
GGGGCUGUGGCUCAGUGGUAGAACAUCUGCUUGGAAUUCAGAAGGCCCCAGGUUCAAUUCCCAGCAACUCCC